GAAUCUUGCGCAAUGGGCGAAAGCCUGACGCAGCGACGCCGCGUGAGCGAUGAAGGCCCUCGGGUUGUAAAGCUCUGUGGGGAGGGAAGAAUAAGGGCACGCUAAUACCGUGUCCGAGGACGGUACCUCCUUAGCAAGCACCGGCUAACUCGGUGCCAGCAGCCGCGGUAAGACAGAGGGUGCAAACGUUGUUCGGAAUUACUUGGCGUAAAGCGCGUGUAGGCGGCCAUGCAAGUCGGGCGUGAAAGCCCACGGCUCAACCGUGGAAGUGCACUCGAAACUGCGUGGCUAGAGUCCUGGAGAGGAAGGUGGAAUGCUUGGUGUAGAGGUGAAAUUCGUAGAUAUCAAGCGGAACACCGGUGGCGAAGGCGGCCUUCUGGACAGUGACUGACGCUGAGACGCGAAAGCGUGGGGAGCAAACAGG
rnacentral:rRNA from 1 species